rnacentral:rRNA from 1 species
CAGGUAGGACUACCCGCUA